GAGGAAGUAAAAGUCGUAACAAGGUUUCCGUAGGUGAACCUGCGGAAGGAUCAUUAUUGAAAUAAACCUGAUGAGUUGUUGCUGGCUCUCUAGGGAGCAUGUGCACACUUGUCGUCUUUAUAUAUCUCCACCUGUGCACCUUUUGUAGACCUGGAUAUCUCUCUGAAUGCUAGCAUUUGGGUUUGAGGAUUGGCUUUUAGUCUCUCCUUAUGUUUCCAGGCCUAUGUUUCUUAAUAUACUCCAUCAUGUUAUAGAAUGUAAUAAUGGGCCUCUGUGCCUAUAAACCUAUACAACUUUCAGCAACGGAUCUCUUGGCUCUCGCAUCGAUGAAGAACGCAGCGAAAUGCGAUAAGUAAUGUGAAUUGCAGAAUUCAGUGAAUCAUCGAAUCUUUGAACGCACCUUGCGCUCCUUGGUAUUCCGAGGAGCAUGCCUGUUUGAGUGUCAUUAAUAUAUCAAUCUCUUCAGCUUUUGCUUGCAGAGUGUUGGAUGUGGGGGGUAUUUUUUUGCUGGCCUUUUCUUAGGUCAGCUCCCCUGAAAUGUAUUAGUAGAACAAUUUGUUGAUCAUUUAUUGGUGUGAUAACUAUCUACGCUAUUAAUGUGAAAACCAAGUUCAGCUUCGAACAGUCCAUUGACUUGGACAAAUUUAAUUAAUGUGACCUCAAAUCAGGU
rnacentral:rRNA from 1 species